rnacentral:rRNA from 1 species
GGUUACACAUGUAGUGCUAUAAAAAAUUUUUGGUAUUAAUUAGUAAAAUUAAAUGAAUUUAAAAAAAAUUUUAUUAGGUGAAAUUUUAAAAUUUUUAUAAAUUUAAAUUUAGAUUACGAAAUUGAUAAACUUUAUUAAUAAACUAGGAUUAGAUACCCUAUUAUUUUUAGUGUAAAUUUUUUAUACCAGAUUAGUAUUAGUUAUAGUCUUGAAAAUUAAAGAAAAUGGCGGUAUUUUAGUCUAUUCAGAGGAACCUGCCCUGUAAUUGAUGAUCCACGAUUUAAAUUACUUAUUUUUAGUUUACAUAUCGCCGUAGUUUGAAUAUUUUUAUAGAAAUUGAAUAUUCAAGAGGUUAUUUUUAAAAAAGAAAUCAGGUCAAGGUGUAGCUUAUAAAUAAGAAGAGGUGGGUUACAAUAAAUUUAUUUAUAUGGAAAAAAGUUUGAAAAAUUUUUUGAAGGUGGAUUUGAAGGUAAUUUUAAUUAAUUUAUUAAAAUGAUUUAAGCUCUAAAAUAUGUACAUAU